rnacentral:misc_RNA from 1 species
UACGAAGGGAGCUAGCGUUGUUCGGAUUCAUUGGGCGUAAAGGGUGCGUAGGCGGCGGGGCAAGUCUGGUGUGAAAUCCCGGGGCUCAACCCCGGAACUGCACUGGAUACUGCCUUGCUAGAGUACUGGAGAGGGAACUGGAAUUUACGGUGUAGCAGUGAAAUGCGUAGAUAUCGUAAGGAAGACCAGCGGCGAAGGAGAGUUCCUGGACAGUUACUGACGCUGAGGCACGAAGGCCAGGGGAGCAAACGGG